rnacentral:rRNA from 1 species
AUGUUGAAUAACAAAACAGAUUGGAAGAUCUACUCCGCUCUGAAAGAAGUGGUGAAAUUACUUUUCCAUAGCUUGGAACGUCGUGUCUUCCUUCGAUUCCUUAUGCGGGAUAUCCAAUCAAUGAGAAUUCAGGUUAAAGAGGGUCUUUAUCCUCGUCGUAUUCUUUAUAUGGAAAUCCAGGGCCACGGGAUCAUUCCCUUGAUUAGUACUGAUGAUAAAAAAUUUUCCCCACGAGAAAUUGAACAAAAAGUUGCCGAAUUGGCCUAUUUCUUGCGCGUACCAAUUGAAGUAUUUCGAGGUAUCUUUUUUGAACUGAGUUGGAUGAAGAAAAGAAGAGUUGGAAGAAGAAAAGUUUUCUCAACAUGGGGAGAAAGUUCCUUCUAA